GUCCCUGUUUGGUUUAGUCACCAGAUACAUGUGCUGAAACCAGAUUACCAAGAGCUGCAUGAUAUCUACAUCAAACGCUUGGUCGAUGAAGGGUGUACUAACCUCUUAGUUCCCAUUGUCCAGGGCGAUCAUUGGCAUCUUCUGGAGUUUGAUGUCGAAAAUGAUAUUGUUAGGCAUUACGACUCCUUGAAGGAGAGAUCUGGACAUUGGGACCCUGUGCUCAAUAUCGUCAAAGCCUUCAACUACAUUAAAGCUGGCUUCAAUGAGAACCAAUUGCGCAGCGUAUUCGACCCAAUCAAAGUUCCAUGCGAGGAGCAAAAGGGAUCGUAUGACUGUGGGAUCUAUGUCUACCAGUUCGUACAAGCGAUUACCGAAGGUAGAGAUGUCCUGCACGUCACGCCCGAAGAGCAUAACACA